rnacentral:misc_RNA from 1 species
GGAAGUAAAAGUCGUAACAAGGUUUCCGUAGGUGAACCUGCGGAAGGAUCAUUAAAAAAUGUGGUACCAAUUAUUGGUACUAAUUAAUCAUCCUACCCUUUGUGAAUUUGUUUGUAUGAAUUUUUUUAAAUGGGUCUUUCCCUAAGUUGGAUUGUAGUAAAAUACAAAAAGACUUAGGGGAAUGACUUUUUUAAAAGACUUUUUUUUAAUUAAAACUUUUUGUAUUCAUUUGUCUAAAAUUUAUUUUUAUAAUAUAAAAACAACUUUUGACAAUGGAUCUCUUGGUUCUCGCAACGAUGAAGAACGCAGCAAAAUGCGAUAAGUAGUGUGAAUUGCAGAAUACGUGAAUCAUCGAAUCUUCGAACGCAUAUUGCACUUUUUUAGUUUACUAAAAAAGUAUGUCUGUUUGAGUAUCAGUAAAAUAUUCUCACAAAAACAAUUUGUUUUUUGUGGUUAUGAGUGUUUUACAACGAUAAACAAGUUGUUUCACUUUAAAUUCUUUUUAAUUGAAUUUUACCAAUUCAUAAAUUAAAAUUGGAUAAAAUUUUCCUUUAACGAGGAAUAACCUAAACAAUUUUAAAUUUUAUGGAUUAAUAAACAUUCAUCAAAGGAAUCUAUACAACAAAUAACUUGAUCUCAAAUCAGAUAAGAGUACCCGCUGAACUUAAGCAUAUCAAUAAGCGGAGGAAAAGAAACUAACAAGGAUUCCCUUAGUAACGGCGAGUGAAGCGGGAAGAGCUCAAAUUUGAAAUCUUCAAGGUUUGACCUUGACGAAUUGUAGUUUAUAGAAGUGUUUUCUGUUGGAGUUUUGGUAAAAGUUCUUUGGAAUAGGACAUCAUAGAGGGUGAGAAUCCCGUAUUUGACCAUGACUUUCCAGCUGUGUGAUACACUUUCAAAGAGUCGGAUUGUUUGGGAAUGCAGUCCAAAAUGGGUGGUAAAUUUCAUCUAAAGCUAAAUAUUGGCGAGAGACCGAUAGCGAACAAGUACCGUGAGGGAAAGAUGAAAAGAACUUUGAAAAGAGAGUUAAACAGUACGUGAAAUUGUCAAAAGGAAGCGUUGACACCAGUGUUGUUUUCUCGAAAAUCAAUUUAAUGGGUUCUUGUUUUUAAGUUAUUGUGACUUUAUCAGCGCAUUUCUUAUUUUACUUGGCUCAUUGAAUGCACUUUUCGUUUAACAAGUCAACAUCAAUUUCUUUGGUGGUAAAAAGUUUAAAGGAAGGUGGCUUGGACUUCGGUUCAAGUGUUUAUAGCCUUUUUUCUAUGCCAUCGGAGAGAUUGAGGUCUGCAGCGUAGAUCCUUCGGGGUUAGAUACUUUGUGCUAAGUUAUAGUUUUUUAUAGACAACUUAUUGACUAUAAUUAACCCGUAAUUUACUCGCUUAGGCUAUUUUACCUACGCUUAGGAU